rnacentral:rRNA from 1 species
AGAAUCAACGCUGGCGGCGUGCCUAACACAUGCAAGUCGAACGGGAAAGUGGAGCAAUCCAUGAGUAUAGUGGCGACCGGGUGAGUAACACGUGACUAACCUACCCUUGAGUGGGGGAUAACCUCGGGAAACCGGGCUAAUACCGCAUAACAUCUUCGGGAUGAGAAGCUGAAGAUCAAAGGAGCAAUUCGCUUUUCGGAGGGGGUCGCGGCUGAUUAGCUAGUUGGCGGGGUAACGCCCACCAAGGCUUUGAUCGGUA